CCGCCACCGCAGACAGUCGCCGCGCAGCUUCGGCUGCGGGGAGGAAAGUCCGGGCUGCACAGGGCAAAAUGCCGGCUAACGGCCGGGCGUGGCAACACGACGGAAAGUGGAACAGAAAGCGAAACCGCCGAUGGCUGUCUGAAAACGGCACAGGCAAGGGUGAAAAGGUGCGGUAAGAGCGCACCGUGCACUUGGCAACAAGGCGCAGCAGGCUAAACCCCAUUUGCAGCAAGACCAAACAGAACGCAUUGACGCGGCCCGCCGAGCGUUCGGGUAGGUUGCUUGAGCCUGUCGGCAACGGCAGGCCUAGAGGAAUGACUGUCCGCGACAGAACCCGGCUUACCGCGGCGACGGCGUG
rnacentral:RNase_P_RNA from 1 species